AGUGGACGCUGGCGGUAGGCCUAACACAUGCAAGUCGAACGGCAGCACAGUAAGAGCUUGCUCUUACGGGUGGCGAGUGGCGGACGGGUGAGGAAUACAUCGGAGUCUACUUUUUCGUGGGGGAUAACGUAGGGAAACUUACGCUAAUACCGCAUACGACCUACGGGUGAAAGCAGGGGAUCUUCGGACCUUGCGCGAUUGAAUGAGCCGAUGUCGGAUUAGCUAGUUGGCGGGGUAAAGGCCCACCAAGGCGACGAUCCGUAGCUGGUCUGAGAGGAUGAUCAGCCACACUGGAACUGAGACACGGUCCAGACUCCUACGGGAGGCAGCAGUGGGGAAUAUUGGACAAUGGGCGCAAGCCUGAUCCAGCCAUACCGCGUGGGUGAAGAAGGCCUUCGGGUUGUAAAGCCCUUUUGUUGGGAAAGAAAAGCAGCAGGUUAAUACCCCGCUGUUCUGACGGUACCCAAAGAAUAAGCACCGGCUAACUUCGUG
rnacentral:rRNA from 1 species